AUGAUUCUUCUAACAGUGCUUCUGUUUUCAACCUUCUUGGGUAAGAGUGCUGGAAACUCUAUUGUCCCCAACACUGCAGUGAAGCAUGCAACAGAAGGAGAAAAUGUUCAGCUCAGCUGCAAGUACAAUGGAUCUGUUGACAGUCUGCACUGGUAUCGCCAGUUCAGUGACUCAGUGCCACAGUUUAUCAUUAUGGAUUAUAAAGGCUACAUAACCAAUGCAACUCCUCCUGUUCCUGGGAUAUCAAUCAAGCAUGACACAACAGCAAAGCAAGUUUCACUGGAGAUCUCAUCUGCUGAAGUCUCAGACUCUGCUGUCUACUACUGUGCCCUGCAGCCCACAGUGUCAGGAAACCCAGCUGCACUGAACAAAAACCCUCACAGCUAA